AGAGUUUGAUCCUGGCUCAGGAUGAACGCUGGCGGCGUGGAUAAGGCAUGCAAGUCGAACGAACCUUGCUGAUUGAUAGGUGGAAUGAGUAGCAAUACAAGUGAAGUUUUGAUAUCAGCGCUGGUUAGUGGCGAACGAGGUAGUAACACGUAGAAACAUACCCAAGAGUCGUGAAUAAUUCAUCGAAAGGUGGACUAAUACACGAUGGUCUCGCAAGAGUAAAGAUUUAUCGCUCUUGGAGUGGUCUGCGAAGUAUCAGCUAGAUGGUAAGGUAAUGGCUUACCAUGGCUAUGACGCUUAGGGGAGGUGAGAGCCUGACCCCCACCGAUGGGACUGAGACACGGCCCAUACACCUACGGGUGGCUGCAGUCGAGAAUCUUCCACAAUGGACGAAAGUCUGAUGGAGCGACGCCGCGUGAUUGAUGAAGUCCUUCGGGACGUAAAGAUCUUUUAUGGGGGAAGAAGUUUAUUGACGGUACCCCAUGAAUAAGAGGCUCCUAAUCUCGUGCCAGCAGGAGCGGUAAUACGAGAGCCUCGAGCGUUAUCCGGAAUUAUUGGGCGUAAAGCGUAAGUAGGCGGCGAUAUUAGUCGAACGUUAAAUCUCUGUGCUUAACAUAGAGUCUGCAUUCGAAACGGUAUUGCUAGAGAGUGUGAGAGGUGAACGGAACUCAUGGUGUAGGGGUGAAAUCCGUUGAUAUCAUGGGGAACACCAAAAGCGAAGGCAGUUCACUGGCACAUUUCUGACGCUGAAUUUACGAAAGCGUGGGUAGCGAAUGGGAUUAGAUACCCCAGUAGUCCACGCCCUAAACGAUGAUCUCUCGCUUUUCGGAGUAUCGACCCUCUGAGAGGCUAAGCUAACGCGUUAAGAGAUCCGCCUGGGAAGUACGGCCGCAAGGCUAAAACUCAAAGGAAUAGACGGGGACUUGCACAAGCAGUGGAUUAUGUGGUUUAAUUCGAUGGUAAACGAAGAACCUCACCAGGGUUUGACACCUAACUGAAAGCCUUUAGAAACAUUGGCCCCCGCAAGGCAGUUAGGCAGGUGCUGCAUGGCCGUCGUCAGUUCGUGGUUUGAAUUGUUCCCUUAAGUGGGACAACGA
rnacentral:rRNA from 1 species